GACUCUGUAGCUCAGUUGGUUAGAGCGCUGCACCGGAAUCACAGGACCGCAGGGUUCGAUUCCUGCCAGGGACC